GACGAACGCUGGCGGCGUGCUUAACACAUGCAAGUCGAACGGAGUGGCGAACGGGUGAGUAACACGUGGGUAAUCUGCCUUGCACUUCGGGAUAAGCUUGGGAAACUGGGUCUAAUACCGGAUAGUGCAAGAGGAGCGCGGGGCCUAUCAGCUUGUUGGUGGGGUAAUGGCCUACCAAGGCGUCGACGGGUAGCCGGCCUGGGAGGGUGUACGGCCACAUAGGGACUGGGAUACCGGCCAGACUGCUACGGGAGGCAGCGGUGGGGAUUAUUGCACAAUGGGCUGAAGGCUGAUGCAGCGACGCCGCGUGGGGGAUGAAGGCCGUCGGGUUGUAAACUCCUUUCGACAGGGACGCGGUACCUGUAUAAGAAGCACCGGCUAACUACGUGCCAGCAGCCGCGGUAAUUC
rnacentral:rRNA from 1 species